CACGCGGUAAACGAUGAUUACUGGUUGUUCGCGAUACACUGUGAGCGACUGAGCGAAAGCGUUAAGUAAUCCACCUGGGGAGUACGUUCGCAAGAAUGAAACUCAAAGGAAUUGACGGGGGCCCGCACAAGCGGAGGAACAUGUGGUUUAAUUCGAUGAUACGCGAGGAACCUUACCCGGGCUUGAAAUGCAUCUGACAGGAGCAGAGACGCUCUCUCCCUUCGGGGCAGAUGUGUAGGUGC
rnacentral:rRNA from 1 species